CAGCAGCCGCGGUAAUACGUAGGUGGCAAGUGUUGUCCGGAAUUACUGGGCGUAAAGCGUGCGUAGGUGGUGGUUUAAGUCCGUUGUGAAAGCCCUGGGCUCAACCUGGGAAUUGCAGUGGAUACUGGGUCACUAGAGUGUGGUAGAGGAUAGUGGAAUUUCCGGUGUAGCAGUGAAAUGCGUAGAGAUCGGAAGGAACAUCUGUGGCGAAGGCGACUAUCUGGGCCAACACUGACACUGAGGCACGAAAGCGUGGGGAGCAAACAGGAUUAGAUACCCCGGUAGUCCCUGUCUCUUAUAC
rnacentral:rRNA from 1 species